rnacentral:tRNA from 1 species
GCCUCUGUGGCGGAAUUGGUAGACGCGGCAGACUCAAAAUCUGUUUUCUGCAAGGAAGUGCCCGUUCGACUCGGGCCAGAGGCACCA